rnacentral:tmRNA from 3 species
GGGGGUGUCAUGGUUUCGACAGGUUGCUGUUGGAUUCAGGCUGCAGUGGAGUGGCGACCUAAUUGCCAAAACAAAAAUAACUAACAACAAUUACGCUUUCGCUGCUUAAUUAGUCUAAACUAGACUUCAGCGUGUCUCCCCGGAUUCGUCCUCAGGUUCGGGCUAGACAUCAGAAAUGAGGAAUACGGGAUCCAGCCGAUCGUACGAAGAUCUCCGACAAUCCAGUCGAUCACAUCAAACCAAGUUCGUCCGUUCGCUAAGGUUUGAUUACUAGAAGCGGAAUAAACUGUAGAUGCUUGAAUGUGAAGCACAAUUUGGACAGGGGUUCGACUCCCCUCACCUCCACCA